rnacentral:rRNA from 1 species
UAUUGGACAAUGGGGGAAACCCUGAUCCAGCCAUGCCGCGUGAGUGAUGAAGGCCUUCGGGUUGUAAAGCUCUUUCGGCGGGGACGAUGAUGACGGUACCCGCAGAAGAAGCCCCGGCUAACUUCGUGCCAGCAGCCGCGGUAAUACGAAGGGGGCUAGCGUUGUCCGGAAUUACUGGGCGUAAAGCGCGCGUAGGCGGCCAUGCAAGUCGGACGUGAAAGCCCGGGGCUCAACCCCGGAACUGCGCCCGAGACUGCAAGGCUCGAGACCAGGAGAGGGGAGCGGAAUUCCCAGUGUAGAGGUGAAAUUCGUAGAUAUUGGGAAGAACACCGGUGGCGAAGGCGGCUCCCUGGCCUGGCUCUGACGCUGAGGCGCGAAAGCGUGGGGAGCAAACAGGAUUAGAUACCCUGGUAGUCCA